GUCAAGGAGACUUCAAAGAUGAGAAAUGAUUGCACUGGGCCUUAGAGAGGAAGUUCAGCAGAACAAGGUGGGAAGGGCACGAUAUCAGAGUAAGAGGCACUGAUGGUGAACAAAUAUAGAGACUGGAAUCCAGUGACGUCACACAGGCGCUCUGGAAGCCAGUGAUGCAGUAUCAGAAUCUGGGAACACAAUGAGGCAAUGUUUCAGCUGCUUGUGCAUUCUUCACCUCCCAUUGUCUCUGUCUCUCUCUUUCUCCUCUGCUUCCCCUCACCCCACAACCAAAGUCAAGAGCGCAGACCCCAUGAUCACCUGAUACUUCCAAGCAAGCAGGUGUUCUUUUCAGAAGCCAGAAGCUGAUAACCUGGGCUUUCUGAUCUAACCCCAGCCCAAAUUCAUUGCAAUGGAGGAAUUGGGGAGGAGAUUCUUCCUACUGAGAAGUGGGUGCCAACUCUCCCUUUCAAAUUUGUUCAUCAACAAACUAAAGGGGAUGCCAGAAAUGUCUGGAGCAAUGGAAGAACCACUGGAAUAAUGCUCCUGCCUGAUUGUAUCUACUUAACCCACUCUCCAAGAGCCAGAAUCAGAUUUCAACCGUAUGGAAUCAUCUACAAUGCAGCAGAUGGGUUUACAAGUCUCUUGGUCUCUUCAUGAAGAAGGCGCAGCAAUCGUGUCCCAAGUCCUUGAGGACUUCACAGGGUGUUCUAGUGUCCUGAGAAUAUACCUGCCUAAGGUUUCUCAUCUCUUAAAUAAGUAUAAUAAGAUUCCCCUCGUCUAUUGUGCAGAGAAAAUUUGUGAAGGAAAAAAUACCAUUCUGUGUGUCAAGCUGCUCUGAAAACAUAAAGUUGUCUGUGAUUAUGAAAGAUGAUGAUUAGUUAAACCUAAAUAAGGCUCUGGAAACUGAAAUAUCCCCACACCUUACGACCAGAGCAACAUCAUCACAUUUGAUUCUUCUCUUUCCUCACUCUCCACUCUGCCCAGCACACCAUUCUGACCUGCUGCUCCCUCUCCACUGCUCAAGUGCUCAGGAUUGCAUGGUGUCCUCAGCAACAUACAUUGGAAAACCAUUUUUAAAAAGGCACAAAUGGGCUGGGCACAGUGGUUCACGCCUGUAAUGCCAGCACUUUGGGAGGCCAAGGUGGGUGGAUCACCUGAGAUCAGGAGUUCGAGACCAGCCUGGCCAACAUGGAGAAACCCCAUCUCUACUAAAAAUACAAAAAUUAGGCCUGGCACAGUGGCUCACGCCUGUGAUCCCAACACUUUGGAAGGUCGAGGCAGGCUGAUCACAAGGUCAGGAGUUCGAGACCAGCCUGACCAACAUAGUGAUAUCCCAUCUCUACUAAAAAUACAAAAAAUUACAGGCGUGGUGGCAGAUGCCUGUAAUCCCGGCUACUCAGGAGGGUGAGGGAGGAGAAUCACUUGAACCGAGGAGGCGGAGCUUGCAGUGAGCCAAGAUCUCGCCACCGCACUCCAGCCUGGGUUACACAGUGAGACUCCAUCUCAAAAAAUAUAUAUAUAUAACAAUAAUAAUAAUAAUAAUAAUAAUAAAAGGCACAAAUGUAGCAAUCAUCUAUGCGGGGGCAGGGAAGACAAAUUUGAUUAAGGACAACCCUGCUCCCCCGGAAGUUAUAGUGCAGAGCAGCACUAUCGUUCUCACAGCGGGUGGGUGAUGGGGAUUUCAGGGAGUCCAUCCACCUGUGCUCACUGAGCCUAGGCCUGGACCAUUUGCCCAGCCAAUUCAUCCCUUUCAUCCUCCUUCCUUCAGGCAAGUGCUGCCUCCUCCAAAGCCUUUCUCAAAAGACCUUUGAGAUUCCCUAGACUGAACUCUAUGAAUGUUCUUUCCGUUUCCCCAGGAAUUUGGCUAUAGCUGGUAUUGGGUUCCUCAAACCAGCCCACCUGCGCUAUGGGAAUGUCAAAAUUGUCCUGGCAAGCUGAGGGGGCAUCCAGAGGUCACCCAGCUUUCCCCUGAAGCGUUGCUCAGAGGCCACUGUACCAUAAAAGGGAGUUCCCAUCCCACACUGGUUCUGAAAGCCCUGGUGUCCAGGCCCGUGUUGUGAUCUUUUCUCCUCUGCCUAGGGCGUAUCUGUUAGGGAGACUCCCAUGAGGGAGGGGAGCCGAGGGAAGAGGCUGAGUGAGGUGAAGAGAGUGUGUUUGUCCCUCCAGCUGUGCCAGGGUCUUCUCAGCCCUUCUCACAGAGGGCUGUCUGUGGACCUCUGUUCCUGGAAUCACCCCUCUGCACCACCCAAACUCCCUGAUUAUGAAUUACACAAUACAUCCCUAAUUCAAGCAUGCUGCACCGGUUUUCUGUAGUCACAUGAAAAUUAACUUACAGAAAUUCACUUUUAUUGAAUACCUACUGUGUGGUAGGCACUGUGGUGGGAUUCUGCCAUUCGAGAAUCUCAGACUAAGAUCAUCUGUUUCAACAAGCAUCGAUCAAGCACCCACAUUGCAGCUGGCACUCUGCUUGAUGGUGAGAUGAGUGUCAAGACCAGUUCCUUAUUUUACAGGGAAGGCCAUCAAGGUUGAAAGUGGAAAUUUCCCAAGGUCAGAGACAGAGUGGUAGAGCCAGUCCAUGCAUUCUGGUCUCCUGUCUCCUGUUCCAGUGCUCAUUCGUGACACUGCUGCUCUCCCUAACACUUCAUCCCACGAGAAUACUCUUGAGAAUAUUGUUCUUGGCUGUUCCAAAUAGAAAGAUCAUCUGUCCAUUAUUCAGGUGAUAUGGGCUGAGGUCUUGCCUCUUCUAGUCACUUGGAGAAAGUUCCAGAAGCAAAGACUAUGUACCUAAUAUUCCUUUAACUCUGUUUUCCUGGGGCCAUAUUUAACUGUGGGUGUUUUCUGUUUCAACUGGUGGCCUGUGGGAAAGAGGUAGUGCCUGGCAGGCUGGCCAAGGACACGGGGACUAAAGAACAAUGUUGGAAGGAGAUGGGGGCAGCGUGAGGGAGGAGGCGAAGACAUAUUGUGGGGGAGUCUUCACCCCAAUUGAAGUCACCUAAAAUCACUCCUUUGUAACUAGAAGACUAAGAAACACUUGUGAAAGCAGGUGAAAGCUGAAAGCACAUCUGUGUGUGUGUCGGGGGUAAGUGUGAGGUGUGGCCGAGAGGCUCAGCUGAAGGAAGUCUCGUAGGCUGGUCCCCAUAUCUAAAGCAAACACACACACAAAACAUUCUAGUGUGACUCCCUCUUCUGCAGGAUAUUCCUUCCCAGGGGCUCCGGACUGGAAAGGUCUUCUCUCAAGCCUAGGGAAAACAAGGAGUUUCUACUUUUUGCUCCUUGCCCCCAAACAGAGAGACAAUGGCCUUGUGUAUGCAAUGGCACUUUUGUCAAGAUGGAGCCGCACAGCUUCCAUGAGGCUGAGGUGAGGAAAAGUGCAUCUCUGCGAACGUGGCUCGGCUCCAGCUCCCUCCACUCGGUGCUCUGCCUGCCAAUUAGCGCAUCCGUCCUUCCCCACAGGUGGGGAAGUGGCCCGUACUGCUGUCUGGCUGCCUGGGGCCAGCACAGCCGGACUCUGACACCCCACCCAGGGAUGCCCUGCAGGGAUGGGGGACCCCUCAGGAGAAGAACACUUAGGUCCGGAACCAAUUCUUCCUCCUCCUCCUUGCAAGAGGGAAGAGGGGGAAGACCAGGCUGGGGAUGGCAGAGAAACUCGGGGGCUGGUUUAAGGGAAACAGACUGAGCUGCUUAGAUCCUGCUGAGGCUGCCAGCAGCCCCAGAUGGCUCCGAACCUGCUGCUCUUGCUGAAAAUUGAUUUUGGAGGCAGUGAGGGGAGGAGGAGGGAUGGCAGGGGCUGCAGGGCAGGGGGCGGUGGUGGGAAGAGUUGCUGCAUGGAGGGUGGAAUUUAUAAGCCUUGAUAAAGACACUUAGUUGAAACUCUAGGGGCAGAGAUAACACCCUUAGCAGAAAGGGCGGGGGUCUCUCAGGAUUUCUGCUUCGAUGUGCUCUUUCCUUCUCACCUUGUUCCUUUUUCCUCAUUUGCCCUCCAGCCCCAAUUAUCAAUCAUGGAGGGUGCCCCUGGAUGCUCCUUCUGGGCUGUGGGGUGGCAUGGGCUGCGCAGGCCUGGAUUUGAGAAGCACUCCGACCAAGGCACCUCCCUCACCCUCACCCAGGGAAGUGACUCAGGAGUUGAGGAAGACUGAGCUCUACACCCCUCACGAUGCAGAGGCCUUGUAUCCAACUCUAUAGUCAUAAUUUUUAUUUAUUUUCCUUGGAGAUAGUGCCAAUAUUUAUGUAAGCAUUAGUCCCCAUGGCACCUGUAUCUGCCUUUGUCUCAUCCCAGUUAUUCAUUCAUUCCCCAGACACUAAUCAGGCACCCCUGAGGGCCAGGCACUGCACCAAGCACUGGGGAAAAAAUGUCCAUGACCAGAUAUCAUCCUCUCUGAGCUCCUAGAACAGGAAGAAAAAUUGCACAAGUUCAGCAAAAAGUCAUCAUAUUUAGUCCACAAGAGCAGGAGAAACAAGGAAGGGUCAGAGAAGGGAGAGCUCACUCCCACAGAAUCUUUAUAAGGGAAAGUUGCAGAGCAAAGGCUAUAUUUGAUUUCAGACUUGAUGGAUGGCAGGAUGGGAGGGAAGCUGUGGAUCUAGAAGGGUAGGCAGGGGGCCUCUGCAGGCAGAGGUGCCAUAGAACCCUGGGGUGGAGCAGAGGGGAGGGAGGAGGUGCCUUCUGGUCUCAGUGGGAACAAUGGGAGAUAUGAUGGACAAGCCAGCCAUCACACACCAAGCCUGGUAUAGCCAUGCCUGGCGUUUGCACUCCUGUCCCUAGACAACGAGACCUCACCAAGGCACCAGGCAGGGCUCACAGGAGGGGCUCGGACCCUGUUGGCAGAACAGUAAGCUGGAGGACAAGCACAAAGCUGUGGGAGAGUCCAGGGGAGCUGUAUAUGAGGAGCAAAACCUCGGUAUUGUUGGUGGGAAUAGAAACAACUUGAUCUCCAUAAAGGAGAGCCAAGGCAGGUAAGAGUUUCCUCCUCUUAGAAGCAAGGGAGGCUUGAAGACCAAGAGAACAUGAUAGGCUUCCCAACAAUCUGACUAGGAAGGCUGGGUAUUCAGCCUUCUCCUAUGAAUACAUUUCCGGCUCCCAGUGGCUCCUCCAAACAGCCAAGAAGAGAGCUGUGCAUGACCCUCAGCAUCUAUAUUACCGAGGAGGAGAUAGCUUCAGAGACCGAACCUACCAGGCCCACCCAGGUCAGUAGAGGUGGAGUCAGGAAGAGAACUUGGGUUCUAGACCCUGCUCUCCCCAUUACAGAUGUCCCUAGGAAUCACACACAACACCAGGGCAGUUGUCAGCACUGAGAUGGAAAGGUGACACCUGCAUUCUCCAAAGACCCAUUAGGCUAUGUGCCCCAUGGCAGCAAGGACCAUCCCACCCUGUUUCUGCCUCUCCCAAAGCAUUGGGAGCUCAACAGUCUGCCUUGCUGAUAUGGCUCUCCCUUUCUCUCAUUUGAUUCUUGCCUGGACAGGGACUCAUCAUUAAAAAGGAACAAAGAGGCCCUAACCCAACCUCAAAGAGAAGGAAAAGGACCUUUUUCUAAAUGGAAGAAUUCUUUUGUAAGAAACGAGGAAGAGUUAGAACAAGCAUCUGCAUAGCCUGGGAAGGGCCACUCUCUCCCAAGGCAUGCUGCCGCUUGCCUCUGAUGUCUGGACGCAAACAGCAGAUCCUCAAUCUGCUCCAGGGUGUUAGUGCCAACCCUGACCUAGUGAGCUUACUCCUUUCUCUUGGGCUUAGGCACAUCUUGAAAGGGGAGAUAGGGAUGACUCUGUGCAUCAGUCCCUCUGUCUGGUCCAGUGGACCUUGUCCUUAUGAUGGCCUGUGAAAAGAUCUUAGUUUCUGAGCAGUUAUGCAAGUUGCUCAAAGCCUUUGAGAUGUCCCCCAGAAGCUGAGUGUAGAAGCAGUUCCACCACCCAGCCUGCAUUAUCUACACAAGACAAUUAGGCAGGGCUCUGGGAACACUCUAAGGGCCAGGGAUUAGGGAGAGAAUCAACCUUGCAGCGCCACCGGUUUGGGGAGGUCAUCACCACACUGCCCUGCCUCUAUCUAAGGAGUGUCUGAGCCCUGGAAAAGCCGCACUCAUGGCUGUCCUGUGGAAUCCUGGAAAACACCAUCCAAACAGGAGAAAAAGCCUGAAAUGAGGGAGAGAGGUUUCCCUUCAGCCCUCUGAGGAAAGUAGAACACAGAAACCCUGGACUGAAGGGGCCCCCAAGUUGGCCUGUGCUAUCCCCAACUGCUCCUCUCUGGAUGCUUCCCACCCUUAGAUUAAACCUUGCUUAUUGACCCCAUAGAGGCUUCAUGUUCUCUCCCGGCUCCUCCCAAAUUGCCCACUGGAAUGUACGUGAUGAGGUCAUUUGUAGUAAGCUACAACUUUUGUGGUUACCCCUGGCAGGGCUAUUUAUACCAUGAUAGGAAAUAAAGUCUGUGUAGAACACACUAGUGCUGGUGAUCUCUUUGGGGAAACAGGGGUCAAGGAGGUUGCUCCAAGAGCAUGACAGAGUGGGAAGAGGACAGAUGUGAGAGUGAGAGGCUUUGGUUAUCAACUGGCUCUGCAGUUAACUUGUUGGCUGGCCUGAGAAAAUCUCCUAAAUGCUUGGGCCUCCAUUUCCUCCUUUGUGAAAUAACGUUAAAGUCCCAACUUCCCAACAUGGUUCAGGAUGAAAAUACGCAAAGUGCAUUAAGCAUUGUUAUAGACAGACUGUUUAUGUUCUACCCCAUUCAUAUGUUAAAUCCUAAUGCUCAGUGUGAUGGUAUUUGGAGGUAAGACCUUCAGUGAAGCCGUCCUAACAGGGUUAACAAGAAUUCUGGACAGGGCUGGGCACGGUGGCUCAUGCCUGUAAUCCCAACACUUUGGAAGGCCAAGACAGGCGAAUCGCUUGAGUCCAGGAGCUUGAGACCAGCCUGGACAACAUGGCAAAAUUGCAUCUCUACAUAUGAAACAAACCUGCAUGUUGUGCACAUGUACCCUAGAACUUAAAGUAUAAUAAAAUAAUAAUAAAAAAAACCCACAAAAAUUGGUCAGAAAUGGUGGUGCAUGCCUGUAGGUCUCAGCUAAUUGGGAGGCUGAGACGAGAGCUGGAGGCGGAGGUUGCAGUGAGCUGUAAUGGUGCCACUGCACUCCAGCCUGGGUGACAGAGAGAGAUCCCAUCUCAAAAAGAAAAAAAAGAUUCUGGACAGAAAUAUAAUUAAGCAUUAAUCAGGCUGCCCUUUGACCCACUUCCUUGUGAUAGAAAGUCACAUAGCACUAGAUACUGACCAUUUGCAUUCCCAUUGUUUCUGUAGAUAGGAUUUCUGAUAUUAGAAUCACAGGGCUUUUAAGAAUUUCUGACAUUAGAAUCACAAGGCUUUUAAGAAUUGCAAGUAGAUCCUGAAUUCCAGCAGAACGGGUGAUGCCAUCCAAUGUGAAGACCUCCACAGAAUGAAAUCAGCGUGAGACUACAGUUUCUUCAUCUCCCUCUUCCAUGAUUUCACCCUCUGUACUUUGACCAAUUGAUAUGGUUUGGCUGUGUCCCCACCCAAAUCUCAUCUUGAAUUCCCACAUAUUGUGGGAGGGACUCUGUGGGAGGUAAUUGAAUCAUUGAAUCACAGGGGCAGGUCUUUCUCAUGCUGUUCUCGUGAUAGUGAGUAAGUUUCAAGAGAUCUGAUGGUUAUUAUAAGGGGGAGUAUUCCUGCACAAGCUCUCUUUGUUUGCUGCCAUCCAUGUAAGACAUGACUUGCUCCUCCUUGUCUUCCUCCAUGAUUGUGAGGCUUCCUCAGCCACAUGGAACUCCAAUUAAACCUCUUUCUUUUGCAUAUUGCCCAGUCUCAGGUAUGUCUUUAUCAGCAGUGUGAAAACAGACUAAUACACCCAUCAACUGUCUUUGUACUUUGGCCCACUCCAAAAUCCUUAAAAUCCUAGCUCUAAAUUCCUUGGGAGAAAGAUUUGAGGUCUUCUCCCAUCUCUUCAUCCCUCCCUGUGAUUAAACCUCUUUCUCUGCUGCAACCUAGUGUCUUGGUUUGUUGACUUGCCAUGCACAUCAGGCAACAGACCCAUUACGAUUGCAUUCGGAGUUGAUUAGGACAUGAGGGGAAUCCUCAUGAUGAGAUUAGUGCCCUCAUCAAAGAGGCCCCAGAGAGCUCCGUUGCCCCUUCUGCCACGUGAGGACAGUGAGAAGACAGCCUUUUAGGAACUAGGAAACAGGCCCUUACCAGACACCAAAUCUGCCGGUACCUCGAUCAGGGACUUCCCAGUUUCCAGAACUGUAAGAAAUAGAUGUCUUUUGUUUAUAAGGUAUUCAAUCUACAGUAUUUUGUUACAGCAGCCCAAGCUGACCAAGACAAGCACAUAGCCCACCACUGUGUCUGGGAAGUCAGAAUUACAAAUGGAUCUAUGUGCUCAUUCCUUCCUUCAUUCCUUUACUCAACUGCUCACAAAAUCGCUCCUGAGGCCCCUUUUUCAUCCACUUGUAGGCCAUCCUUGAAUCAAAGCCCCAGGCCUUUGCAUGCAUAAAACUCCAUGUCUUGAGUCAGCACUUCGCACCCAUCUCUUUAGGAAAGCAGAAAGGCCAGCCGUCAGAGACAGAGUUUUCCAGAGGACUGACUGGAAGGGGUGGGGGCCUGAAAGGAGAGAGUCUUAAGCACCAGCUUAAUCUCAUUUAGGUCUUGUCUCUGGGCGGCUGAGGAGGCUGUUUUUAGCUUCUUCCAAAUGAGCUUCCUGCUAAGUUUCCCCUGAGACCUGGCACUGGCUCUACUCACACUUCCAGCUUGGGGAAGACAAAGAUCCAGGAAGGGCUGGGCAGCAGGUGCCCUGGAACCCCCGGAAGGCUGUGGCAGAGGGUGAGGCCAGGGUAGCAUUGUGGGGAAAGGAAGGAGACUGGGCUGGGUCUGGCUUGAAUCCCAGCUUUGACACUCGCCCAGCCCUGGGUGGCCUUGAGAAGACUUACUGGGCCUCUUUGGUUUUCUCAUUUUAAAAUAUCAAUCACAGCAUGCCUAAAGUGCC
rnacentral:lncRNA from 1 species